rnacentral:lncRNA from 1 species
AGAGCCAUCCUCAGCCGUCAUGGCAGCCUGGUGCUCCCCGCCUGAAUGUCAAGUUCAGCCCCGUCUCUGAACAAACAAAAACUGGGAACCACUCCUAUGAGUUAAUGCACCCAGUGCAUGAGACUGAGCAAGUUCAAUAGCUCAAGGAAAGGCAUGCUCUAGUUCUCAAAAGGGGUAGAGCUAAACAGCACAGCCUGACCCUGUAUUUGUUUUUCUUCUCCUUGUCCCGGCCAAGAGCACAGACAGGCUUGCACAGUCUCUCCUAAAGAAGGAAGACCCACAGAGGAGAAAUGUUCUGAAUGUCAGUGGGAUCCUCAGAAGAGCAAGUACAUCUGGAGAAGUGGCCCCUGAGGUGCAGUUGCAUUUUUGUUUUAGGACAGCCUUUAUCGGAGGAACAGUUAAGGACAGAUGCUUUUGGAUCUAUGUGAGAAUGACAUACUGCUGGGAAGAAGACCAGGUCCCAUCGAGUGUAGCAUCAGAACAUAAGACUUGGAAGAGAGAGCUCUCUGAUACAAUAAAAACUGCGUUGUAAUAGAGCCCUGGAAGCCCGAAAUUCUGGAAAGCUCUUGAUUAGUCACGGACUUUCUGUGAAUAUCUGAGGAAGAAAUGGGCUUCACCCAGCUGGAAAGCAUGCCCUUCCAUUGCAAGUGGUGAUUCUAGAUUUUGCACUAGAAAUAAGAAGGGUUUGAGGGCUUUCAGAACGAAUACUUUUCCCGGUGGGCUGGCAGAACUCAGUUAUGCCUUCCUUUGCAGCAUGUGACUUUGCCCCGGAGCACAAAGAGAGAGAGAACUUUGCUGGUGUUGGGUGCUUUCUGGAGCUUUUUUCCUGAGCACUGAAGGAGAAAGCAAAGGAUAUUCACAUUUUUUAGAAGUGCAGAUUUUUUUUUUUUUUUUUAAACAUGUCCUAAGACUGAUAUGCUUGUACUGCUACCAUUACAGUGUCAGUAAUAACUGCAAGAGCUUUGUCCUUUCGGCCUUCCUUGGCUCCCAGAGCCAUGUGUUGAAUAGGAGCAAGGACAGAUUUAAUUGCUAUCUGAACAGGCACAGGAUGUUAAUUUGGCAGCUUGACAGGUCUCCGAUAGGCCAGGAUUUUAUAUUCCUGUUGUACGUGAUCUUACUAUACUUUGCAUAUAUGCGGGGAAAUGUAGCAGUGGGUGGAAGGGACAGAAGGUCAGGACAUUAAUUGGUAAUGCUUAAACACCCUUUGUAGUUGCAAGAAUGCAUUCAGCACUGUAAAACUGGGUGAGGCCGGGAAAGAUAAUUUGAACUAUGUGGAAUGGCAUUAUAAUAUGCUGAUGUCUGUGCACCAGCUCAAAUAUUUGUCGAAGUCCACGUAGAUAUGGUGAAAAGAUGCUAAUAUGACCUGUGACAUUUUGAUUUACUUGAACAUAUAUUGAUUUAAUAACAAAAAAGUUUGAUAGUAACAAGUAAAAAAGAGACUGCAUUAAUAAUAAGAAAUUUCAAAAGCUAUAAAUCCUUACAUAUUAAUUUAUCUUAAAAAAAUAAAUGUAU